GUUGCAGUAGGGUAUCUUCCAGCAACGAUUACUUUAACUAUUGCCAUAAAGUAGCUAUGGCUACACUUCAUUGGGAAUAAAAUCUAUUGCGUCGGUUAUUCUUCAACAACAUCGGUUCUAACACCAUAAUAUUUCACAAGUCGUCCAAAAAAAUUAACAAAUAUACAUUUUUCAUACAAUAUAACAAAGUUGCUGGAUUUCUCUCUCAAACGAUUUCCUCCGACCACCAUACCACUGCUCCGACCAUCCAACCAUCAUACCAUUGCUCUGACGACCGUACAUCUUCUUCGAUCAUUACCAGUACUCCGACCACCUUACCACUGCAAAAUAUCAUUUCGGAGUUGCUCCGACCACCUCUUCAAAAAACCAUUUCGGAGUUGUUGCCGAAAGUUAGACAGUAUCACUACUCCGACCACCACUUCAAUUUCAUCUCUUAAAUUUGCAAUUAAAUUUUCGAGCAAUUUUGAGGUUUUCUUCAAUUUGGUGAUUUUAAGGUU
rnacentral:lncRNA from 1 species